GACGAACGCUGGCGGCGUGCUUUACACAUGCAAGUCGAGCGGUAAGGCCCUUUCGGGGGUACACGAGCGGCGAACGGGUGAGUAACACGUGAGUAAUCUGCCCUUCACUUGGGGAUAAGCACCGGAAACGGUGUCUAAUACCCGAUACGACCAAUCCACGCAUGAGGUGUUGGUGGAAAGUUUUUUCGGUGGGGGAUGUGCUCGCGGCCUAUCAGCUUGUUGGUGGGGUAAUGGCCUACCAAGGCUUCGACGGGUAGCCGGCCUGAGAGGGUGACCGGCCACACUGGGACUGAGACACGGCCCAGACUCCUACGGGAGGCAGCAGUGGGGAAUAUUGGACAAUGGGCGAAAGCCUGAUCCAGCAACGCCGCGUGAGGGAUGACGGCCUUCGGGUUGUAAACCUCUUUCAGCGCAGACGAAGCGAAAGUGACGGUAUGCGCAGAAGAAGGACCGGCCAACUACGUGCCAGCCGCCGCCGUAAAAC
rnacentral:rRNA from 1 species